GACGAACCGUACGAACGUUAUUCGGAAUUACUGGGCUUAAAGGGUGCGUAGGCGGCGCAGUAAGUUGGGUGUGAAAUCCCUCGGCUUAACCGAGGAAUUGCGCCCAAAACUACUGUGCUCGAGGGAGAUAGAGGUGAGCGGAACUUAGGGUGGAGCGGUGAAAUGCGUUGAUAUCCUAAGGAACACCGGUGGCGAAAGCGGCUCACUGGAACGGUACUGACGCUGAGACGCGAAAGCGCGGGGAGCGAACAGG
rnacentral:rRNA from 1 species